CACGUAGUUAGCCGUGACUUUCUCACAGGGUACCGUCACUGUCUUCUUCCCCUGCGACAACAGUUUACAAUCCGAAGACCUUCUUCCUGCACGCGGCGUUGCUGCGUCAGGGUUGCCCCCAUUGCGCAAUAUUCCCCACUGCUGCCUCCCGUAGGAGUCUGGGCCCGUGUCUCAGUCCCAAUGCGGCCGAUCAACCUCUCAGUUCGGCUACAGAUCGUCGCCUUGGUGAGCCGUUACCUCACCAACCAGCUAAUCUGACGCGAGUCCAUCCAUAAGCGAUAAAUCUUUACAAAAUUCUAUGAUGCCAUAAAUUUCAAUAUGCGGUAUUAGUCCUCGUUUCCAAGGAUUACUCCCCCUUAUUAGUGGGCUAGGUUACCUCACGUCGUUACUCCGCCCGUCCGCCUACCUUUCCACCCUAACACGUUCCGACCCCGAAGGGACU
rnacentral:rRNA from 1 species